rnacentral:rRNA from 1 species
UGGGAACGUACCCUUCGGUUCGGAAUAACCCAGGGAAACUUGAGCUAAUACCGGAUACGUCCGAGAGGAGAAAGAUUUAUCGCCGAAGGAUCGGCCCGCGUCUGAUUAGCUAGUUGGUGAGGUAACGGCUCACCAAGGCGACGAUCAGUAGCUGGUCUGAGAGGAUGAUCAGCCACAUUGGGACUGAGACACGGCCCAAACUCCUACGGGAGGCAG